GGGUUGUGAGGUUAAGCGACUAAGCGUACACGGUGGAUGCCCUGGCAGUCAGAGGCGAUGAAGGACGUGCUAAUCUGCGAUAAGCGUCGGUAAGGUGAUAUGAACCGUUAUAACCGGCGAUUUCCGAAUGGGGAAACCCAGUGUGUUUCGACACACUAUCAUUAACUGAAUCCAUAGGUUAAUGAGGCGAACCGGGGGAACUGAAACAUCUAAGUACCCCGAGGAAAAGAAAUCAACCGAGAUUCCCCCAGUAGCGGCGAGCGAACGGGGAGCAGCCCAGAGCCUGAAUCAGUGUGUGUGUUAGUGGAAGCGUCUGGAAAGGCGCGCGAUACAGGGUGACAGCCCCGUACACAAAAAUGCACAUGCUGUGAGCUCGAUGAGUAGGGCGGGACACGUGGUAUCCUGUCUGAAUAUGGGGGGACCAUCCUCCAAGGCUAAAUACUCCUGACUGACCGAUAGUGAACCAGUACCGUGAGGGAAAGGCGAAAAGAACCCCGGCGAGGGGAGUGAAAAAGAACCUGAAACCGUGUACGUACAAGCAGUGGGAGCACGCUUAGGCGUGUGACUGCGUACCUUUUGUAUAAUGGGUCAGCGACUUAUAUUCUGUAGCAAGGUUAACCGAAUAGGGGAGCCGAAGGGAAACCGAGUCUUAACUGGGCGUUAAGUUGCAGGGUAUAGACCCGAAACCCGGUGAUCUAGCCAUGGGCAGGUUGAAGGUUGGGUAACACUAACUGGAGGACCGAACCGACUAAUGUUGAAAAAUUAGCGGAUGACUUGUGGCUGGGGGUGAAAGGCCAAUCAAACCGGGAGAUAGCUGGUUCUCCCCGAAAGCUAUUUAGGUAGCGCCUCGUGAAUUCAUCUCCGGGGGUAGAGCACUGUUUCGGCAAGGGGGUCAUCCCGACUUACCAACCCGAUGCAAACUGCGAAUACCGGAGAAUGUUAUCACGGGAGACACACGGCGGGUGCUAACGUCCGUCGUGAAGAGGGAAACAACCCAGACCGCCAGCUAAGGUCCCAAAGUCAUGGUUAAGUGGGAAACGAUGUGGGAAGGCCCAGACAGCCAGGAUGUUGGCUUAGAAGCAGCCAUCAUUUAAAGAAAGCGUAAUAGCUCACUGGUCGAGUCGGCCUGCGCGGAAGAUGUAACGGGGCUAAACCAUGCACCGAAGCUGCGGCAGCGACGCUUAUGCGUUGUUGGGUAGGGGAGCGUUCUGUAAGCCUGUGAAGGUGUGCUGUGAGGCAUGCUGGAGGUAUCAGAAGUGCGAAUGCUGACAUAAGUAACGAUAAAGCGGGUGAAAAGCCCGCUCGCCGGAAGACCAAGGGUUCCUGUCCAACGUUAAUCGGGGCAGGGUGAGUCGACCCCUAAGGCGAGGCCGAAAGGCGUAGUCGAUGGGAAACAGGUUAAUAUUCCUGUACUUGGUGUUACUGCGAAGGGGGGACGGAGAAGGCUAUGUUGGCCGGGCGACGGUUGUCCCGGUUUAAGCGUGUAGGCUGGUUUUCCAGGCAAAUCCGGAAAAUCAAGGCUGAGGCGUGAUGACGAGGCACUACGGUGCUGAAGCAACAAAUGCCCUGCUUCCAGGAAAAGCCUCUAAGCAUCAGGUAACAUCAAAUCGUACCCCAAACCGACACAGGUGGUCAGGUAGAGAAUACCAAGGCGCUUGAGAGAACUCGGGUGAAGGAACUAGGCAAAAUGGUGCCGUAACUUCGGGAGAAGGCACGCUGAUAUGUAGGUGAAGUCCCUCGCGGAUGGAGCUGAAAUCAGUCGAAGAUACCAGCUGGCUGCAACUGUUUAUUAAAAACACAGCACUGUGCAAACACGAAAGUGGACGUAUACGGUGUGACGCCUGCCCGGUGCCGGAAGGUUAAUUGAUGGGGUUAGCCGCAAGGCGAAGCUCUUGAUCGAAGCCCCGGUAAACGGCGGCCGUAACUAUAACGGUCCUAAGGUAGCGAAAUUCCUUGUCGGGUAAGUUCCGACCUGCACGAAUGGCGUAAUGAUGGCCAGGCUGUCUCCACCCGAGACUCAGUGAAAUUGAACUCGCUGUGAAGAUGCAGUGUACCCGCGGCAAGACGGAAAGACCCCGUGAACCUUUACUAUAGCUUGACACUGAACAUUGAGCCUUGAUGUGUAGGAUAGGUGGGAGGCUUUGAAGUGUGGACGCCAGUCUGCAUGGAGCCGACCUUGAAAUACCACCCUUUAAUGUUUGAUGUUCUAACGUUGACCCGUAAUCCGGGUUGCGGACAGUGUCUGGUGGGUAGUUUGACUGGGGCGGUCUCCUCCUAAAGAGUAACGGAGGAGCACGAAGGUUGGCUAAUCCUGGUCGGACAUCAGGAGGUUAGUGCAAUGGCAUAAGCCAGCUUGACUGCGAGCGUGACGGCGCGAGCAGGUGCGAAAGCAGGUCAUAGUGAUCCGGUGGUUCUGAAUGGAAGGGCCAUCGCUCAACGGAUAAAAGGUACUCCGGGGAUAACAGGCUGAUACCGCCCAAGAGUUCAUAUCGACGGCGGUGUUUGGCACCUCGAUGUCGGCUCAUCACAUCCUGGGGCUGAAGUAGGUCCCAAGGGUAUGGCUGUUCGCCAUUUAAAGUGGUACGCGAGCUGGGUUUAGAACGUCGUGAGACAGUUCGGUCCCUAUCUGCCGUGGGCGCUGGAGAACUGAGGGGGGCUGCUCCUAGUACGAGAGGACCGGAGUGGACGCAUCACUGGUGUUCGGGUUGUCAUGCCAAUGGCACUGCCCGGUAGCUAAAUGCGGAAGAGAUAAGUGCUGAAAGCAUCUAAGCACGAAACUUGCCCCGAGAUGAGUUCUCCCUGACUCCUUGAGAGUCCUGAAGGAACGUUGAAGACGACGACGUUGAUAGGCCGGGUGUGUAAGCGCAGCGAUGCGUUGAGCUAACCGGUACUAAUGAACCGUGAGGCUUAACCUUACAACGCCGAAGGUGUUUC
rnacentral:rRNA from 1 species